rnacentral:rRNA from 1 species
ACUGGUUUAAGGUGAACCUGCGGAAGGAUCAUUACAUCAGCUAUAACUUUCUUUGAUCAUAAAUUCUAAAUGGAAUAACCGAGGAAAAGCCUGGGCUAAUACAUGCGACAAUUCCGGUAGCAAUAUCGGAAUGCUUUUAUUAGAUCAAAACCUUCUAGUUUCUUUAUGGAACUGUUUGUUGGUGACUCUAAAUAACUUUGUGUUGAUCGUAUGACCUUCGUGUCGACGACAUAUCUUUCAAGUGUCUGACUUAUCAACUUUAGACGGUACAUUAUAUGUCUACCGUGGUUGUAACGAGUACAGAGAAUCAGGGUUUGGUUCUGGAGAGGCCGCCUGAGAAACGGCGACCACUUCCAAGGAAGGCAGCAGGCGCGCAAAUUACCCACUCUCAAAACGAGGAGGUAGUGAAGAGAAAUAACGAUGUUAGUCUUUUAUAGGCUGAUAAUCGGAAUGGAAAAACUGUAAAUAGGUUAUGAAAACUAAAGUUGCUGUGUUUAAAAAGCUCGUAGUUGAAUUUCGGGUAUUUGUUGCCAGUUGGUUUUCAUGACCAUAUUGGUUAACAGGUCCUCACUUACUGGACGGCUGGCGAUGAUCUUUAUCGAUUGUUGUCAGUUGCCAGAACGUUUACUUUGAGAAAAUUAGAGUGCUAAAAGCAGGCUCACGCCUAUAUAUAUUCAUGGAAUAAUGAAAUAAGAUCUCGAUUUUAUUUCGUUGGUUUUAGAAAUUGAGAUAAUGAUUAAUAGGAUCAGAGGGGGGCGUACGUACUGUGGUGUGAGAGGUGAAAUUCUUGGAUCGCCACAGGACGAACAGCAGCGAAGGCGUUCGCCAAGAAUGUUUUCAUUAAUCAAGAACGAAAGUUUGAGGUUCGAAGACGAUUAGAUACCGUCCUAGUUCAAACCAUAAACGUUGCCAACUGUCUUUUAGAUGCGGUUAUUUUUAUGACUCAUCUGGCGGAUCUCGAGAAAUCUAAGUUUUUAGGUUCCGGGGGAAGUAUGGUUGCAAAGCUGAAACUUAAAAGAAUUGACGGAAGGACACACAAGAAGUGGAGCCUGUGGCCUAAUUUGACUCAACACGGGAAACCUUACUCGGCCAGGACACUUUUAGGAUUGACAGAUUGAGAGCUCUUUCUUGAUUAGGUGGGUGGUGGUGCAUGGUCGUUCGUAGUUCGUGGAGCGAUUUGUCUGAUUAAUUUCGAUAACGAACGAGACUCCGGCUUACUAAAUAGUCUAAAGUUCGCAGGGACUUUUCAAGACUUCUUAGCAGGAUAAGUGGCACUUUUUAAGCCACACGAAAUGGAGCAAUAACAGGUCUGUGAUGCCCUUAGAUGUCCGAGGCUGCACGCGCGCUACACUGGAGAGUUCAGAAUGUUUCUUCCUACUUCGACAGGAGUGGGUAACCAUGAAAUUCUCUUCGUGACUGGGAUCGGAGCUUGCAAUUAUUCUCCGUCAACGAGGAAUUCCUAGUAAGCACUAUUUCAUCAGAAUGUGCUGAUUAUGUCCCUGUCCUUUGUACACACCGCCCGUCGCUACUACCGAUUGAAUGUUUUAGUGAGAUCUUCGGCUUGGUUUUCCGAGUGGCUUUCGGGUCGCUCGGUAUAUAUCGAAAAGAUGCUCAAACUGGAUCAUUUAGAGGAAGUAAAAGUCGUAACAAGGUAUUCGUAAGUGAAC